rnacentral:snoRNA from 1 species
AGAUCCCUCUGAUAAGCCUUACUUUACAUAUAGUUAAUAUGUGUAUUGUCACGAAUUGAGGGUAAAUUAAAUUAUCCCGAAGGAAACAUUGAUCCUGAAAUUUUGAAAGGGUCAGUGUGUCGACAUGUGGAUGACAUUUUU